CACCCUGUGACCUGACGCCUCUGCCCCUGCAGGAGAUGGAGACGAGACACGAGGAGGAGUGCAGGACUGUGCAGGAGACGGGCGAAGCGCCCUACCAUCCCGGUGUCCUUGCCUUCUCCGGAGAGCUGCCGUCCUAGCCACCCGCACAUCCACAGCAUGCCAGCCUGGGCAUCUCUGGCGCCCCCCACCCGCGGAAGGACGCUGCUAUCACCGCCACCCAGCGGAGACCCGGCGGCCACCCCUGCCCGUCAGACACUGCGCCCGCUCCAGCACCAGGCCGGGCAGAGCGGCCUGGCCAACGGAUCCUGCUACCCCUUCCCCGCACCCCCGCUUCACUCAGCUCCAUCGCCCGGCUGUUCAUCCCCAAUAAAGCCAGAGCCCCAGUUCGGAA